CCAGACUCCUACGGGAGGCAGCAGUGGGGAAUAUUGGGCAAUGGGCGCAAGCCUGACCCAGCAACGCCGCGUGAAGGAAGAAGGCCUUCGGGUUGUAAACUUCUUUUCUCAGGGACGAAGAAAGUGACGGUACCUGAGGAAUAAGCCGCGGCUAACUACGUGCCAGCAGCCGCGGUAAUACGUAGGUGGCAAGCGUUAUCCGGAUUUAUUGGGUGUAAAGGGAGCGUAGACGGCCAUGCAAGCCUGGAGUGAAAGCCCGGGGCCCAACCCCGGGACUGCUCUGGGAACUGUGCGGCUGGAGUGCGGGAGGGGCAGGCGGAAUUCCUGGUGUAGUGGUGAAAUGCGUAGAUAUCAGGAGGAACACCGGCGGCGAAGGCGGCCUGCUGGACCGCGACUGACGUUGAGGCUCGAAAGCGUGGGGAGCAAACAGGAUUAGAUACCCCGGUAC
rnacentral:rRNA from 1 species